UUUGGCAGCACACAUAGUAAAAAAAAAUUAGAGUGAUACAGAGAAGAUUAGCACAACUCCUGCACGAGGAUGACACAAAAAUUUGUGAAGCAUUCUAUGUUAAA